AAGUAAACCCCNGGGUAAUGGAAUAGGACGUGUGGUUCUAUUUUGUUGGUUUCUAGGACCGCCGUAAUGAUUAUAGGGACAGUCGGGGGCAUCAGUAUUCAAUUGUCAGAGGUGAAAUUCUGGAUUUAUUGAAGACUAAUUACUGCGAAAGCAUUUGCCAAGGAUGUUUUCAUUAAUCAGGAACGAAAGUUAGGGGAUCGAAGACGAUCAGAAACCGUUGUAGUCUUAACCAUAAACUAUGCCGACUAGGGAUCGGACGAUGUUAUUUUUUGACUCGUUCGGCACCUUNCGAGAAAUCAACGUCUUNGGGUUCUGGGGGGAGCAUGGUCGCAAGGCUGAAACUUAAAGAAAUUGACGGAAGGGCACCACCAGGAGUGGACCGUGUGGNUUAAUUUGACUCAACACGGGGAAACUCACCAGGUCCAGACCCAAUGAGGAUUGACAGAUUGAGAGCUCUUUCUUGAUUUUGUGGGUGGUGGGGCAUGGCCGUUUUUAGUUGGAGGAUUGAUUGGUCUGUUUAAUUGCGAUAACGAACGAGACAUUUACCUGCUAAAUAGCCNUUAUUGCUUCGGCAGUACGCUGGCUUCUUAGAGGGACUAUCCGCUUAAGCGGGUGGAAGCUGGAUGCAAUAACAGGUCUGUGAUGCCAUUAGAUGUUUUGGGCCGCACGCGCGUUACACUGACAGAGACAGCGAGUACUUCCGUUAGU
rnacentral:rRNA from 1 species